rnacentral:rRNA from 1 species
UACGUAGGGUGCAAGCGUUGUCCGGAAUUAUUGGGCGUAAAGAGCUCGUAGGCGGUCUGUCGCGUCGGAUGUGAAAAUCCAGGGCUCAACCCUGGACCUGCAUUCGAUACGGGCAGACUAGAGUUCGGUAGGGGAGACUGGAAUUCCAGGUGUAGCGGUGAAAUGCGUAGAUAUCUGGAGGAAUACCGGUGGCGAAGGCGGCAUCCUGGACCGGCAUUGACGCUGAGGAGCGAAAGCCAGGGGAGCAAACGGG